ACUGCUCAGUAACACGUGGACAACCUGCCCUUAGGUUGGGUGUAAACCCGGGAAACUGGGUAUAAUACCCGAUAGGUCUCGAUUGCUGGAAUGCAUCGAGAUUUAAAGCUCCGGCGCCUAAGGAUGGGUCUGCGGCCUAUCAGGUAGUAGUGGGUGUAGCGUACCUACUAGCCUACGACGGGUACGGGUUGUGAGAGCAAGAGCCCGGAGAUGGAUUCUGAGACACGAAUCCAGGCCCUACGGGGUGCAGCAGGCGCGAAAACUUUACAAUGCUGGCAACAGCGAUAAGGGAACCUCGAGUGCCAGGUUACAAAUCUGGCUGUCGAGAUGCCUAAAAAGCAUUUCAUAGCAAGGGCCGGGCAAGACCGGUGCCAGCCGCCGCGGUAACACCGGCGGCUCGAGUGGUAACCGUUAUUAUUGGGUCUAAAGGGUCUGUAGCCGGCCGGAUAAGUCUCUUGAGAAAUCUGGCAGCUUAACUGUCAGGCUUUCAGGAGAUACUGUCUGGCUCGAGGCCGGGAGAGGUGAGAGGUACUUCAGGGGUAGGGGUGAAAUCUUGUAAUCCUUGAAGGACCACCAGUGGCGAAGGCGUCUCACCAGAACGGACCUGACGGCAAGGGACGAAAGCUAGGGGCACGAACCGGAUUAGAUACCCGGGUAGUCCUAGCCGUAAACGAUACUCGCUAGGUGUCGGCCACGGUGCGACCGUUGUCGGUGCCGUAGGGAAGCCGUGAAGCGAGCCACCUGGGAAGUACGGCCGCAAGGCUGAAACUUAAAGGAAUUGGCGGGGGAGCAC
rnacentral:rRNA from 1 species